rnacentral:lncRNA from 1 species
CGCCUUUCUUCUCCUUAUCAGCAUACCACUGAUGUCAGGUAGAAACAAUUUCCAUUAUUGAUAUCUUAAUACAAAAGGAAAUAAUCAUUAGUAUUAGCCAGGUUCAUAUCAGUAGACUUUGGACAAUUCUGGUGCUGGAUAUUUGUUAGAUUCAAUGUUUGGUGAUAUUUGUAGUUUUGGAUAAUUACUAAAAUGAUUUCGUUAAAAUUUGGGAUAUGGUUAUUGCUAUUAUACGUUCAGGUA